CCGAUCUUAGCUCAGUUGGAAGAGCGUGGGACUGUAAUCGGAUAAAACGGAUCAUGAUGUCAUUGUGUCAUUUAUCAUCCCGAGGCCGUGCGUUCGAUCCGCACAGAUCGGA